AUGUUCCCCACACCAAGCACUGCUGCACGCACACAUGUUCCUGCAGGUAGUCAUAAUACACGGCCAGCCGUAAGGGUGCGCUCCAUUUGCGCUCUGGCCCCAGCAUCCGGCCAGGCCCAACUCGUCCCGCUCUCCCCACGCCGUUGGGUGGGGCGGGAUGUCAUGUCGCUGUCUCGACCACGCGCGGCGGCACAGUGCGCGGCUCCAUCCGCUAGCACUCUGUCGCCCCCGUGCACAGGCCCGGCUCCCACUCGUCCUUCACUCUCGGACUCCACGCUCCGCGGUGUGGACCAGCCUGUUCCAGCUGUUUCGCACUUGCCCUUUCGAGCGCAGCCCUCCAUGGGUCGCCCCCAGUUCUCUGGUACGGGCGACGGCGGUAAGGGCGCAUGCACAACCCUCAGACGUUGUUCACGUGACCGCGCACACGCGUCCACUGUCGGAACGCGCGCACGAGUGGCGCCGCCUUUGCAUCAUGAGCAAAUGGAUUUCGGACACCAUUCAUUGCGGUCACACACUUCAUUUUCAGGCCACUCCACCUCCCUUCAACGGGAUCGUGGAGACGACGUUCACAUCGCAAGUACAGUCUCAGGCGCUAGAGCUGGAGCUGCGGGAACUUCUGUCCAAAGACGCUAUUUCCCGAGUCCCUCGCGGACAAGAACUCUCGGGUUUCUACUCCCGCUACUUCGUAGUACCGAAGAAGUCGGGAGGAAUGAGGCCGAUUCUCGACCUGUCCCUGUUCAACUGCUCCAUAGCAGUAAUGCAUUUCCGCAUGUUAACGAUGAGACAAGUCCUGGAAUAUGUGCGCCCCGGGGAUUGGUUCACGUCAAUCGACCUGAAAGACGCAUACUUCCACAUACCAGUAGUUCCAAACCACCGGAAGUUUCUGCGUUUUUCGUUCAAGGGAGUUCAAUAUCAGUUCAAUCGCCUCCCUUUCGGCUACUCGCUAGCCCCGCGCACUUUCUCCAAAUGUCUGGAGACCGCGCUGCAGCCACUGCGCACGGAGGGAAUGAGGGUCUUAUUUUACCUGGACGAUCUUCUCCUGUGCGCUCGGUCCGAGGACGAGGCGUCACAGCAAACCAGGAGGUUGACAGAGCAUCUGUCAACCCUAGGGUUUUCUAUAAACUGGGAAAAGAGCUCCAUCCUUCCAUCCCAGUCGAUUGUGUAUCUCGGGGUGGAGUUGGACGCCUCCCUAAUGAGAGCACGUUUGUCGCCUGCAAGAGCGGCAGAUCUCUCCACGGUGAUCUCCCGUGUUCAACCCCGCAAGAUCGUGAGAGCCCGGUUAGUCAUGAAACUCCUGGGCAUGAUGUCCGCAGCCCAUUCAGUAGUGCCGCUAGGUUUGCUGCGCACGAGGCGCUUGCAACGCUGGUUCGUCCGCCUCCGGGUACACCCAAUACGUCAGAAGAGACGUAUGUUGAGGAUUCCCCCUUCAGUGGGCGGGGACCUCGCUCACUGGGGGAACCCCUGCAUCCUCUCACGCGGGGUUCCCAUCGGACGUCCUGCGUCACACGUAUCUGUGUUUACGGAUGCGUCACUGUCGGGGUGGGGGGGCACGUGCUUGUCCCAUACGGUGGCAGAUCGCUGGCCCUCCCACACGCACGAGCACAUAAAUGUGUUGGAGCUUAUGACAGUGAGGAAUGUGAUCAGACACUUCGCUGCCCUUCUCGAGGGCCGUCAUGUCGAAGUUCACACAGACAACCGGGUAGCGGCAGCCUACAUAAAUCGCCAAGGGGGAGUUCGAUCCCUCCCACUGUUGCGUGUCGCCACAGAUUUACUGUGUUGGACACAUGUCCACCUGCUGUCCAUCAGAGCCAUCUACAUUCCGGGGGUACUGAAUGUAGCGGCAGACAUCCUGUCGAGAGGGGGACCCCGCGACUCCGACUGGCGUCUACAUCCUGCACUGAUAUCACAGAUCUGGAUCAGGUUCGGGGAACCGUCUGUGGAUCUGUUCGCGGCUCGCGAAAACGCUCAGUGUCGCCUGUGGUUUUCCCUGAGUCCCCGGGACGGACCCCCGCUCGGGGCGGACGCCUUCUCACUCCAGCCCUGGCCUCGAACGCUCCUUUAUGCGUUUCCACCAGUCCCUCUGAUUCCCCGUCUCCUGGACCGAAUUCGGUCGGAACAGCUCUUGUUGAUUCUGGUGGCUCCCAGACGCGUGUCCGCGUCAUGGUUUCCGGACCUGCAAGCGCUAGAGUCCGGCUCCCCGUGGAGGCUCCCGUGGAGGGCGGACGCCCUUCUCCAGGCGGAUGGGAUAAUCAAACAUCCUCCGGAAAUAGGCCAACGGCUGUGGGUCUGGCCGCUGAGCGGUCACGCUUAGAGGCUUCUGGGCUGCCGCAUGAUGUGGUGGCCACGAUUCAGAGUGCGCGGGCGCCCUCUACCAUUGCCUCUUACGCUGCUAAAUGGGCAGCUUUCCAGAACUGGUGCGCAGAACGGAAUGUUCAAGCGCUCUCCUGCCAGCUGGCGGAUGUUCUAUCGUUUUUGCAGAUACUGAUGGACAGGGGCCUCGCAUUCAGCACUGUUAAGACAUAUGCUGCAGCUAUCUCAUCAUGUCAUCAGGGUUUUGGAGAUAGAUCUGUUUUCAAUCAUCCCCUCACAAAACGUUUUCUAAAAGGUGUCAGGAGGAACAGACCUGUGUCCCGCCCGCUUUUUCCCCAAUGGGAUCUAACGGUGGUUCUGCGUGGCUUAUCUGAAGCUCCAUUUGAACCCUUGGACCAGGUCUCACUCAAGUUCCUGUCGCUUAAAACUGCAUUGCUGCUGGCGCUAGCAUCAGUUAAGAGAGUGAGUGACCUAACCGCCCUCUCAGUGGCUCCCGCAUGCCUCAGGAUCCGGGAGGAUGGCGGGUCUGCUGUUUUAUGCCCCAACCCAGCCUUUGUGCCCAAAAGCAUUAAUGCUUCCUUCAAAUCCAGGUCAAUUUCAUUGGCUGGACUUUUUCCUCCUCCCCAUAAUUCUGAGGAGGAGGCGGCUUCUCACCUUCUCUGCCCGGUGCGCGCGCUUGCACGAUAUGUGUCACGCACUUCAGGGAUUCGUCGCUCACAAAACCUGUUUGUGCACUACAGGGAGUCUUCCCUUGGUCAGGCGCUGUCGGCCCAGCGCCUUUCACGCUGGCUGUGUGACGCCAUUUCCCUCGCUUACACAUCAUCAGGGCAGGAUCCCCCUGAGGCACUCAGGGCUCACUCAGCCAGAGGGAUUUCCUCUUCGAUGGCGCUCCUCAGUGGUGUGUCAAUGGAAGACAUUUGUCAGGCUGCUUCAUGGGCUUCACCCUGUUCCUUUACUCGUUAUUAUUUACGAGAUGUGUCUUCAGGUUCCAUCACUCGUUCAGUGCUUGGACCCCAGCAGGCUAAAUGA
ensembl:lncRNA